GUUUCCAUGGUUAUGUCUAUGUUGUGUUGCUUUAUUCUGGAGCUCUGUGUGUCUGCCUCUAUUGUUGCGUCUUUGUGAUUCCGGUUUGUGUGUCUGAGUCACUGUCUGUGUGUCGUGGUGCCGUCGCGUUGAGGUGGGUUCACCUGUGUGCGUGGUUGUGUGUUGUCCUGUGGAUUUUGGGGUGGAUCAAAAAGGUCUGUGUUUGGGCUGUGGAUGUGUGUGGCGCUCAGAUCGUGUGGUUUCGCAACUCUCGUCUGGUGUUAUCUGACCGCAGUGGCCGUUUGCUCUAUGUCUUGGCUGUCCGUGUGUUUGUAGUGGGUCUUGGUUCAGGCUGCGUAGUUUGAAGUCUUGGCACGCUGCCGCUCGUAUGUGUUGUGUGUUCACUUGUGUAUGUCCCCGACUGACCUUCUCAUUGUCCCGCCUCCUGUUGUCCUUUGGAUAUACGACUAUAUGUGGCGGCAAGUUGUGUUUCGUGUAUGUGCAUGUGGGUGUUGUGGGUUGGUGAUGGUGGGCGAUUCCGACCCCUGUCGCCGUCUCGGUUCGCCGGUCCCCAGCUUUUCAUGUUAGUGCCGUAUUUAUUUAGGCUUAAUACUCUCCUCCUUAGUCUACUGCAUCGCCAUGCGGUUACGAAAAGCGUCAGUGGUGGUUAGUCUAAGCCAGUGAAACCAGCGUUUGGUGUAGCGAUCUCUAAGGCUCGGGGUGGUUGCCUUCACGUCUUCGAAUUUCCUGGUUGCUUCCACCUCUUCCACCCAUCUUGCGAUGGAGGGUGUGGUGGCCUGCUUCCAGUAUAUUGGGACCGUUGCUUUGGCUGCGUUUAAUAGCCGUGGGAUGACCGAUUUACUGUACGUCGGUAUAGACAUAUCCGUGUGGUGUAGGAGGAACGUUGCUGGGGAACUCGGGAGCAUUUCGUCAGUUACUUCAUGUAUUACCUCUCUAAUCGUGUUCCAGAAUGGUCGGAGUCGGGAGCACUUCCACCAGGUGUGUAUGAAUGUUCCUCUCUCUUUUCCACAUCUCCAACAGGAGUCUGUGGCUUCCGGAUUCCUGGCGUGUAUCGCCGUCGGUGUCAAGUACCAUCUGGUGUAUAUUUUGUAUGAGUUUUCUUGCAGCCUUGCCGAGCUAGGUGUUUUUUGUAUCAGGGUGAUGUUUUUGUCCCAGGCUGCUUCUGUCAUGGGUUCUUCCAGGUCUUCCUCCCAGUUUCUCAUACAAGGGGGUGCCAGUAUAUACCUUCCUGUAACCAGCAUUGCAUAUAUCUGUGAAAUGGCACGUGGGGUUUUCGGUUUCUUGCGUACAGAGUAGUUCGAAUUGUGUGGGGUCUCUCAGUAAUGAUGGUUUUUGCGGGAUAGACCGAGCAUAUCCUACUAUUUGUGCUCUCGCCAGUGUGUGUGCAAAGGUAAGCGUUCGAUCAGGAAAAAGGUCUGUGACGCCGCGGACUUCAAAUGGGCGUUGGAGGACAUCCAUCAUGCGGGGAGUCGUUGUGCGUCCCCUCAGGCCUGGCAUGGGGCCGUGGUCUCCUGCUGGGAAGUCUGGGUUUCCUCUCAACGGCAGUAGCGGGCCUGGAUCCGUCGUGAGGUAUUGCUUCGUGCCUUGCCUGUGCCAGACCUUCAUGGUCGCCGCCACGAAUGGGUUGGUAAUGUGUUUAUGUUUGUAAGCGGCUCUGGGUAUCCACGGUAGCGUGCGGAGGUCACAGUCAGUGAUGUCGGAUUCUAGCUGGGUCCAUGGUUUCGUUCCGCUGGCUACCGACCAGCUGACGAUUCUGGUGAGGUGCGCUGCCUGGUAGUACUUUUCGAAAUCAGGGAGCGCCAGGCUUCCUCGAAGUUUAGGCAGGGUUAGUUGAGCGUGUGCUAUGCGUGGGGAUUUGCCCUUCCAUACGAACUUGCGGACCUCCGCCCGUAGCGUCUUAAAGAAGGCUUGUGGGGCUAGUAUCGGCACCGUUUGGAACACGAAGAGAAGUUUCGGUAGUAGCGUCAUCUUUACGGCGUUUACUCUUCCUAGCCACGAUGCGUAGAGGGAGCUCCAUUUAUUUAGUUCCUCCGUUGCUUUUUUAAGUAUAGGGAGGUAGUUGUGGAUGUAAAGGUCUCCCGGGGUGGGAGUGAGCCACACCCCUAGGUACCGCAUACGGAGGUUGCACCAGCGGUACGGGUGUAGUCUUUGAAGUGUCCGUUUGUGGGCUUGAUCUAUGGUGAGGUUGAGGAUCUCCGACUUAGUGUAAUUUAUCUGAAGGUUGGAGAUCAGCCCAUAUUCUUUAAAUUCUGCCUGUAUCUCCGGUAAGGUGGUCUCUGGACGUGUGACCACAAACAGCAGGUCGUCCGCAUAUGCUAGCGUUUUGUGUUGUAUCUGUCCAACUGUGAGGCCCUGUAUGUUUACGUUCUGUCUGAUCCUCCGCAGAAACAGCUCCAGCGUCAACGCGAAGAUUAGGGGAGAAAGUGGGCACCCCUGUCUGGUUCCAUUAUAUAUCUGGAACGGGUCCGUCAGUGCCCCGUUUAUCCGGAUUCGUGCCGUUGGGUUGGUAUAGAGGGCCCGUACCCAUGUAAGGUAGUGAGGUCCCAUCCCGUAGGCUUGGAGGGUCUCGAACAUCAUAUCCCAGUCCACCCUGUCGAACGCCUUUUCCGCGUCUGUGGACAGGAGGAGGGUCUGUGUCUCGAGUGUUCUAGCGUGUGCGAUGAUGUUCAGGGCUCUGAUGGUGUUGUCACGCACCUCUCUGCCCGGGAUAAACCCUGUUUGGUCCGGGUGGAUUAAGUCUGGUAGUAACGGCGCUAGUCUCGCUGCCAGGAUGCUCGCCAGAAGUUUGAUGUCUGUAUUAAGCACCGAAAUCAGGCGGUAGUUUGGG